rnacentral:rRNA from 1 species
UACAGAGGUGGCAAGCGUUGUUCGGAAUUACUGGGCGUAAAGGGCGCGUAGGCGGUCCUGUAAGUCCUGUGUGAAAUCCCUCGGCUCAACUGAGGAACUGCACGGGAUACUGCGAGACUUGAGUUCGGGAGAGGGAAGCGGAAUUCCGGGUGUAGCGGUGAAAUGCGUAGAUAUCCGGAGGAACACCGGUGGCGAAGGCGGCUUCCUGGACCGACACUGACGCUGAGGCGCGAAAGCUAGGGGAGCAAACGGG